GGUUUACUGCAUGGUUUCUAUAGGUUUUUGGUACUGUGAAGGGAACUAGCUUCCUCAGAACGGUGCCAUUUGAGCACGUUGCAGUGAAACCCUUUGAGCCCAUGCUCUCCCUUAGGGGGGAUAACGUCAGGCUGGUGCUUUCCAGUAAUUUGAGGAUAUAUAAAACUCCCCUUUCAGUAGCUGCAACAGAAACGUGGGGAACUCAAAAAAUGUGACAAAGUGGGAAAGGAUUAAGUGAGACACAGCUCCUGAUCCUCUUUGUCCAACCCCCCUCACCCCCAGGUGUGACAAAUUAGCCCUAUGUGCACCUUUGUCAGAAUCAGGAGGAGUUCUUUUAUUGCCUUUUGCACGCCCAGGGUGCAACCUAAGAGUGUGUGAGAUCAGAAGGAAAGGGGUGGACUGCAGGGCCCCCUGUGAUCUUGCUAUUUGCUGCCCAACAUUUUACAGAACAUUUUACUUGUAGUGUGCCUCAGUUUUCCCACAUGAUGGCAAAAAUACCGUCUGGUGAAUACUGGGAUGUGACAAAUAAGAGCUGCAGAGAAAGCAACUUUAGAAAGCAGAUUUCAUGCUAGGUCCUGCAGCUGACACAAAACUCCCAGCCCCCAUUACUGGCUGUGCCCUGUGGUGCAGUGAUUGCAGCCCACUGCCCAGCUGCAGCCACUCUCUUUGAUUGUCCAGCUGCUAUGGCCUGGACGGCACAGCUGUGGGUGAUGAGCUGAACCACCCUCUGGGCUUCCAGGCAGACAUUUUAGAUGUGCUCUUUGUAUGGUGCAACUGAGCUGCUGCUAGCAAUUGGUGCUCACAACUGCUGGGUCGGCUGCUCCAAGGCAGUGCUGUCACAGUGUGGAUGGAAGGACAAAAUCUUCCCUGGAAAGGACUUUCUCAUCCCCAACGGCAGUCACUUCUCUCUGCCAACACGCAGCAUGUGCAAGUGACAGCAGCAGGAGGGAGCUAUGGAGGGGCCUGAAUCAAACCACAAUCUCCAGGACCAACAUGCAGCACGGACAAGUUUGGAGGCAAGAAGAAUUUCUCACCAGCAAAGUUUCAGAACAAGGGUAUGGAAAAGAAAGAAGAUAACCUACUGCACUCGUCAGCCAUUAGACAGCAUUCAGUCCCUAAUGCUCUGCUGAAGAUUAUAAGCCUCAACAGAUUUAAUCCCAGUCAAAUCUCAAUGGUAAGUGCAUGCCGUAAGCUUGUCUGUUCAACUAAUAACAAUGCAAACAUUUAAAAAACUUGUAUGAAGAUCAGUAGGUAAAAACAAAAGAAACUUAAAAAUAUGUAAUUAGAGGAAAGCACAGCAUGAAGGUAAGAUAUUGCAGGUCGCAUGCAAAUCAGUUAAAAAUAUAGUCUAGUGUGCAUUGUGGUCACUGGAUAACACUGCUCUGGACAGGGGGUGGAUGCUUCUCUGGCCAAAUCCCAUGACAAAAACCUCUGAACUUCCAAGCAGAGCCGGUCCUCCAGCCAUACUCCCAACCACUCACCCCAGAUUUGCACAUUACUACACAUGCACACAGUAAAGCUGGCAGGAAGAAUGACUGGGACAUUUAUAGGCUGCCAGAAUCCUUAGUGUGAAACAAAUAUGCUCUUGAUUAACUAGAAAAGAGCUGGGAGUUGGGAAAAGAAGCCAAAGCUGAGACACACCCUAAAAACCAUUCCCAGCCGGAAUGAGAAUCCCCAGCCUGAGCCAUCUCUGAUCUUAGUCACACAUGGGAAACAUGGCAGCUUGAAACUAAAGCUCUAAGUGUAUUUUCUGCAGCUGUAAGAGCAGAUGCAAACAACAGCGAGUGUGAGAAACAGCCUGAGAUGUCUGAUGAUGUCAUCAAAGUGACACUGACUGUACUUCCCUCUGUUACUCGCGCUGGGGAAAGCAGCCCUGAAUUUUAUGGCUUCAUCUGUGAAUAGGAAGCAGUGAGGCUGAAAGGAGCAAUAAAAAUACUGGAGCUGGGUACCUUGUCAGACAUCUACCUGCAGAGACGCGUGCAGCACUGGGCUGGGUGGCCUAGAAGAUCUAAUCCAGAAGUCCAAGUCCCUUUAAGGCUACAAGAGCAGAAGUUUUUUGUGCCACUUUGUGGCCACUCUGCUGUUAUCAAGAGGUGAAAAGUGAAUUUUGACUAUGGGUUAUUGUUAGAUUUCUCUCAUAGUUUGGGGUUGGCUUGAAAAUGCUCUCAGGUAUCUGAAUUUUUCCACAGUGAUUUGCUCUGCUCUUUGGCUGCCCUUCUUAGCUGUGGUUACUGUGUCAGCCAACAAAUGGAGCAGGCGUGGAAGGGCCCUUGGAUAAUGUUAAGUGAGACACAGAGUGACACAGGCUUUUUUUUUUUUCUUUACUGACUCAAAAGGUGCAGAGAAAAACGUGGGCAAGGUGAGUGGGGAAGGAGAUGGGCAAAGGACACUAAGAGAGAAAGCA